AUGCAACCCUCUGUCUCUCUAUUAUUUCAGAGGACAGGACACUCCACCAAGACGUUUGGAAGGUUCACCCAUGUUUUCCGCUCCUGCCGAAAGCAAAGCUAUGACUCUGAAACCACAGAGGAUGAAGCCACGGAGCCCCAGGUCCCAAUUGAAACCAAGGAAGGACCUGGCGGACGGCACCAGGACAAGGCUGGCCGUAGAGUGCCUGCAGGUGAAGGAUGUAGGAUGAUGGACUCCAGCCCUGACCGGAGGGCCACCCUUCCUGGGGGCCAUGACCCAGUGGUGGAGAGGGAGCUCCUGGCUUUGGGCUCGCGGCCCCCAGGGGCCCAGGACCCAACACACCCCGGCAGGCAAGCUCUCUGCGGAGGGACCGAUGGGGGGCCAGGGGCCCUAGUCAGACACCUGGGUGUGGAGCCCUUGAUCCGGGCGUCACAUGCUAACCUGGCUCGCACUAACCAACCCAUGCUGGGGUCAGAGGAAAGUGUGUCUGUAGGAAGCGACUACUAUGGAAGCAUGUUCAGCCUCUACAGGGGAAGAACGUUUUCCAUGCCUUUAUAGGAACAACUUCUUCUUUUCACUGAUUAGAAAAAGAGUGGCCUCCAAACCAAUUUCCCAACUUUAACAGAUACAACAAACACACAAUAUUAUAUUACACAUCAUGAUUUUCCAAGAUCCAUUUAUUCCCAAAGAUUUCAUAUUUUCUAUAGAAUUGAUAAUGUAUUUUAAAUUUCCUUUUGUGUCCUUGCCUUUUAGUCUUUUAUCAUCAUUGCUUCCGAUAGUAUAUUAUUUCUGUUUGUUAAAUCAUACCUUCCUUUGUCUUCAUGCCGUGACAUUUUCCAGCUGUGUUCAGUUCUGUCUUGAGCUUGGUUCUAUUUUAUUAUGARAUCAAAAAGUACCACUGAAGCCUUCGGUUUCCCUGGGUUUUUGCUGCAUGCCAUGUAUAUUGACCAAAUGGUUUCCCGUGUUCUACUUGCAUUACCGUCAGAUAAUCCUGGAUAUCUUCAUAGCGUUGGUGUCACACGCAUGAAUGGAAGUGUGAAUCAAAGCUGAUGUUUGUCUGCAUGUCUUUGCGAGCUAGUUUCAUCCCAACUAAACUGACUGUGUGUCCAGCUAACAUGAGAGGUGUGUGUGUCAACGGCAUGUGUGAUUGUUUUCAUAGUUGAUGAAUAGGGGUCUUUCCUGGUUAUGUUGGAAGAGUUAGUAUUAGAUGAAUUCAUACAGCGCUCGUAUUAUUUCUCUAUGUGUCACUGCAACAUGGUAACAUUGACCAUUCAUGGUCUGGUCUGGGCAAACACCCGUGUCCUGCCAUUCCAGUCACUCCCAGUAGGCCUUGGAGCUUGAAUGACUUCUAUCUGUAUUCUCCAUUGGCCUGUAGAGGGGGAACAUACACUUGACAGGGAUCAUGAAUUGGAAACGUACAAAUAUACAAUAUGAUCUAUUUGGCUCCUACACAUGUUGUGUUAGACCCAUGCAUUAUCUACUAUAGUGUAUUGAGAUUUGUGUCCAUAUAAGUGAAGUGUUAUUUGUGCUAAAAUCACUUCAUUUAUGGCCAUUCCAUGUUCUGUUUAUUUGUGAAAGGUACCUCUGUCCUGAUGAGAAAUCAACACUCAAAUUAUAUUGACUAUAAACAGUAUUACUAUUUCAUAAAGCAGUGGACACUAAUUUACGUAGACACACACACACACACACACACACACACACACAUAUAUAUCCUCUACUGGGCACACAAACAUCCAAUGGAUUUUCUUCCUCUUCCAAAAACCUGGGCCUCUCCUUGUCCCUUCUUUAUACGUCUAACUUUCCAUUUCCCUAAAACCCCCAUCUUCCAGGAUCCCAUCUCCUUCUCUCCCCCAAACRCAAACAGGCCCAUCCUUCAGUCCUGCCUCACCCCAGUCCKGUCAAACUGUAUCCCAACCCACAACAUCUCUCAGCUCCCAUAAGAACAGUGUCAUCUCACACAGRACCCAAGACCCUUCCCUAGGAGGAGCUGUGGUCAAAAACAAACUCCCAGGGGUGUUUUCAGGAGCCUCCUCCCAUACUUCAAGCAGCGGCAGCAGUGGUGGCAAGACACCCAAACUGGRCCGRGCCGCACCCAAGAUCUUUGACAAGAUCAAGGAGUUUGAACAAAAGGUGAGUGAGGUGAGUGCGGGGGUCAGAUCUGGGCGCUCUUUCGGCCGGGCGGCAUCCUGCGAUCUGGAGGGGGUCUCCAAAGAGGAGGGGACAAGCCAGCCGGAUGCCGCGGCCUCGAGGCGCUCCACGUUCGGAAAGAAGAGGGCCUCGUCUCUGGAGGACAAACCAAGCUACCAGCAGAGGGUCCAGAGCUUCCAGAACAAGUUCACAGAGGAGCUGGCCAGGAUCAAGAAGCUGGUGGGGAGGCCCAACCUGAAGAAGGCCUACU
ensembl:lncRNA